AACGUAGGACGCAAACGUUAUCCGGAAUUACUGGGCGUAAAGGGCGCGCAGGCGGACCGGUAAGUUAGGCAUGAAAGCUCCCUGGCUAAACCGGGAGAGGCUGUCUGAUACUGCCAAGCUAGAGUAAGGUAGAGGGGUGUAGAAUUCCGCGUGUAGUGGUGAAAUGCGUAGAUAUGCGGAGGAAUACCAGUGGCGAAGGCGGCACCCUGGACCUUAACUGACGCUGAGGCGCGAAAGCAUGGGUAGCGAACGGG
rnacentral:misc_RNA from 1 species